rnacentral:tRNA from 1 species
GGGUGAUUAGCUCAGCUGGGAGAGCACCUCCCUUACAAAGGAGGGGGUCGGCGGUUCGAUCCCGUCAUCACCCACCA